UUAUUGGAGAGUUUGAUCCUGGCUCAGGACGAACGCUGGCGGCGUGCCUAAUACAUGCAAGUCGAGCGGACUUGUGAGAGCUUGCUCUCACAAGUUAGCGGCGGACGGGUGAGUAACACGUGGGCAACCUGCCUGUAAGACUGGGAUAACUUCGGGAAACCGGAGCUAAUACCGGAUAAUUCUUUUCUACACAUGUAGGAAAGCUGAAAGAUGGCUU
rnacentral:rRNA from 1 species